UACAGAGGUCUCAAGCGUUGUUCGGAUUUAUUGGGCGUAAAGGGUGCGUAGGUGGGUUGGUAAGUCAGUGGUGAAAUCUCCGAGCUUAACUUGGAAACUGCCAUUGAUACUAUCAGUCUUGAAUACUGUGGAGGUCAGCGGAAUAUGUCAUGUAGCGGUGAAAUGCUUAGAUAUGACAUAGAACACCAAUUGCGAAGGCAGCUGGCUACACAAAUAUUGACACUGAGGCACGAAAGCGUGGGGAUCAAACAGG
rnacentral:rRNA from 1 species